AGUGGAUGGGGAGCAACCUAGUUGUGCGUGUGUAAAGGUAGUGCCAAGAAAAGCGAUGAUCAUGUUGAAAAUCAAUUCCCGGUACCCGAAACCGACACAGGUGGGCAAGUAGAGAAUACUAAGGGGCGCGAGGUAACUCUCUCCAAGGAACUCGGCAAAAUGACCCCGUAACUUAGGGAGAAGGGGUGCCACCGAGAGGUGGUCGCAGUGAAGAGGCCCAGGCGACUGUUUAGCAAAAACAUAGGUCUCUGCAAACUCGAAAGAGGAGGUAUAGGGGCUGACGCCUGCCCAGUGCCGGAAGGUUAAAGAAGUUGGUCAGUUUUAGGAUGAAGCUAGCGACUGAAGCCCCGGUGAACGGCGGCCGUAACUAUAACGGUCCUAAGGUAGCGAAAUUCCUUGUCGGGUAAGUUCCGACCCGCACGAAAGGCGUAACGAUCUGGGCGCUGUCUCGGAGAGAGGCUCGGCGAAAUAGGAUUGUCUGUGAAGAUACGGACUACCUGCAUUUGGACAGAAAGACCCUAUGAAGCUUUACUAUAGCUUGGAAUUGUGUUCGGGCUUCCUGUGCGCAGGAUAGGUGGGAGGCGUAGAAGGUAUUCUUGUGGGGAUACUGGAGCCAACGGUGAGAUACCACUCUCAGGAGGCUAGAAUUCUAACUUAAUUAAGGACAGUUUCAGGUGGGUAGUUUGACUGGGGCGGUCGCCUCCAAAAAGGUAACGGAGGCGUACAAAGGUUCCCUCAGACUGGUUGGAAAUCAGUCGAAGAGUGCAAAGGCAGAAGGGAGCUUGACUGCGAGAAGUACAGUUCGAGCAGGGUGGAAACACGGUCUUAGUGAUCCGACGGUGCUGUGUGGAAGGGCCGUCGCUCAACGGAUAAAAGUUACUCUAGGAUAACAGGCUGAUCUCCCCCAAGAGUUCACAUCGACGGGGAGGUUUGGCACCUCGAUGUCGGCUCAUCGCAACCUGGGGCGGAAGUACGUCCCAAGGGUUGGGCUGUUCGCCCAUUAAAGCGGUACGUGAGCUGGGUUCAGAACGUCGUGAGACAGUUCGGUCCAUAUCCGAUGUAGGCGUGAGAAUAUUGAGAGGAGCCUUCCUUAGUACGAGAGGACCGGGAAGGACGCACCGCUGGUGUACCUGUUAUGAUGCCAAUUGUAAACGCAGGGUAGCCAAGUGCGGAGAGGAUAACCGCUGAAAGCAUCUAAGUGGGAAGCCCACCUCAAGAUGAGUAUUCUGGUGUAAGGUCACGGGAAGACGACCCGUAAAUAGACACGAGGUGGAAGUGCAGAGAUGUAUGAAGCCGAAGUGUACUAAUAGACCGUCGGCUUGACC
rnacentral:rRNA from 1 species